rnacentral:rRNA from 1 species
UACGGAGGGUGCAAGCGUUAAUCGGAAUUACUGGGCGUAAAGCGCACGCAGGUGGCUGAGUCAGUCGAUUGUGAAAGCCCUGGGCUUAACCUGGGAAUUGCAGUCGAUACUACUCAGCUAGAGUAUGGGAGAGGGAAGUGGAAUUUCAGGUGUAGCGGUGAAAUGCGUAGAUAUCUGAAGGAACAUCAGUGGCGAAAGCGACUUCCUGGACCAAUACUGACGCUCAUGUGCGAAAGCGUGGGGGAGCAAACAGG